UGCAUUCACUACUGUAAAUCGCUCUGGAUAAGAGCAUCUGCUAAAUGACUUUGC
rfam:Salmo salar isolate Sally breed double haploid chromosome ssa05, whole genome shotgun sequence.